UGUAGAUGUCUAUGGGCUCCAGUAGCCACU
rnacentral:sRNA from 1 species